AGCCAAAAAGAGUAAUCAUCUACUUUCACAACUUAUAAUAAUAAUAAUGACAAAGAACUCAUCCAAAUUAUAUAUUUGGUGUGACCAAAAAACAUAAACAAGCUCUUAAAACUGUUUUUUGUUUUCAGAAAGAAACAUAUGGCAAAUAUUUCUACUUGCUCCCUUCUCGUUGCUGCUGUUUUUCUAGUUGGAAUGAUGAUCCCAUCAGAAAUAUUAGGACAAACAUGCUACCAAAUACACCCAGAAAUAUUGUGUGAUGAAGGCAAAGUUGAACCGGAAUGUUUACCUUUCUGCAAUAACAAAUUUGGACCCUCUGCUGGUGGCCAAUGCAUUGAGCAAAUUGGCUUUAAUGGCCCUUUUUGUGCAUGUGAAUAUCCUUGCUAAUCGAUCUCUUUACUUUCAAAUUUAUUAAUAAAGUGCAGUUACAAUAUGUAGUAGCUAGUUUUUGUUAUAAAUUAGAUGAUGUUAAGUUUUUCUUAUAUAAUCUUUAUGUAAAAGUGAAGUUACUAUAUAUGUAGUGAUCUAAUAAUGUAAAAUUUAUUAGCUA